UGGGGAAUUUUGGACAAUGGGCGAAAGCCUGAUCCAGCAAUGCCGCGUGUGUGAAGAAGGCCUUCGGGUUGUAAAGCACUUUUGUCCGGAAAGAAAUCCUUGGCUCUAAUACAGUCGGGGGAUGACGGUACCGGAAGAAUAAGCACCGGCUAACUACGUGCCAGCAGCCGCGGUAAUACGUAGGGUGCAAGCGUUAAUCGGAAUUACUGGGCGUAAAGCGUGCGCAGGCGGUUUGCUAAGACCGAUGUGAAAUCCCCGGGCUCAACCUGGGAACUGCAUUGGUGACUGGCAGGCUAGAGUAUGGCAGAGGGGGGUAGAAUUCCACGUGUAGCAGUGAAAUGCGUAGAGAUGUGGAGGAAUACCGAUGGCGAAGGCAGCCCCCUGGGCCAAUACUGACGCUCAUGCACGAAAGCGUGGGGAGCAAACAGGAUUAGAUACCCUGGUAGUCCACGCCCUAAACGAUGUCAACUAGUUGUUGGGGAUUCAUUUCCUUAGUAACGUAGCUAACGCGUGAAAUUGACCGCCUGGGGAGUACGGUCGCAAGAUUAAAACUCAAAGGAAUUGACGGGGUCAUAGCU
rnacentral:rRNA from 1 species